rnacentral:rRNA from 1 species
UACGUAGGGUGCAAGCGUUAAUCGGAAUUACUGGGCGUAAAGCGUGCGCAGGCGGUUGUGCAAGACAGAUGUGAAAUCCCCGGGCUCAACCUGGGAACUGCAUUUGUGACUGCACGGCUAGAGUGUGUCAGAGGGGGGUAGAAUUCCACGUGUAGCAGUGAAAUGCGUAGAUAUGUGGAGGAAUACCGAUGGCGAAGGCAGCCCCCUGGGAUAACACUGACGCUCAUGCACGAAAGCUAGGGGAGCAAACAGG